AGGCACACCAACACAAAGGGUGAUACAUUUUUGAUAACCGACCAUUCAUCUCACUCAGUCUUCCUUUCACAAGCUUUUGUUACCUUGUGUAUUUUAUUUACCCAUGAGACAAUAGUGUGGAUUUGGUUUGCCGAAGAUUGUACUAUACUAUGUAGGCCUAACAUCGCCCUUUUUGGGACAUUAUUAGAUUUUGUUAUCGGCUUAAAAUGUCAACAAGAGAUGAAAAGAAAAACAGUUUCGAGUAUUUGUGGAAACCCCAGAUACUAAACGUUUAUUUAUAUUGGUUGUAAGCAUUUCGCAAAAUUACAGAUCACCAAUUUUCCAUUUAAGAUUUGAUUUGAUAUCAUCACGAGGAGAAAAACUGCAAACAAGGCAUUCAUUUUCAAUGUAGCCAUGGGCAUGGGCUCUACAGAAGCCAUAAAAAACUUAACUGCGUAUGGAUAACACAUAUAGAUGACUCCUGUGAAUGGUGUUAGGCAGCGUGAUGUCAGAAGUGAGAAGAACAAGUUAUGUGAGUUAGAGAAUGUUAGGCAGAGGGGGAGCAAGGCUAGAACACCUGGGAGCAUUAUCGACUUUAUCAGCCACCAUGCAGCACACAGUGCCCGGAUUCGCCCGUCUCAACUUCCAGUAUUGAAUAUAAAGAAGCAUUAUUUCUUUUUCUUUUCUUACACUUCGUUUUUAAUUGCCUUUAUACUGAAACAAAGCGAAGAUGUUGCGGAUGAAUAAACCCUGAUCCAGAC